rnacentral:rRNA from 1 species
CCUACGGGGUGCAGCAGUGGGGAAUAUUGCACAAUGGGGGAAACCCUGAUGCAGCGACGCCGCGUGAGUGAAGAAGUAUCUCGGUACGUAAAGCUCUAUCAGCAGGGAAGAAAAUGACGGUACCUGACUAAGAAGCCCCGGCUAACUACGUGCCAGCAGCCGCGGUAAUACGUAGGGGGCAAGCGUUAUCCGGAUUUACUGGGUGUAAAGGGCGCGUAGACGGCAGGACAAGUCUGGAGUGAAAUCCCGGGGCUUAACCCCGGACCUGCGUUGGAAACUGUGUGGCUGGAGUGCAGGAGGGGUAAGCGGAAUUCCUAGUGUAGCGGUGAAAUGCGGAGAUAUUAGGAGGAACACCGGUGGCGAAGGCGGCUUACUGGACUGUAACUGACGUUGAGGCUCGAAAGCGUGGGGAGCAAACAGGAUUAGAUACCCGAGUAGUC